rnacentral:lncRNA from 1 species
AUUCUACCCAUCUCCUUACUCAGGACGCCAUCGCGGGUUUCCCAGGGCCAACCAUUCCCGCCGCGCCACCCUAAGACGCGCCCGGCGCCCAAACACUGAGGAAGCGGGUGGGGUCCCCUGCGGCCCCUGCAGCGGGAGGGGCGCCCGGACGUCACAGCAGGGCCGCCCGCCCGCCUCGCGGCCUCCCGCCUCCCGCCCCGCGGACCCCGCGCGUCCCCCGCGCUCCUUCCGUGGCCCAGGUCCCAGGCGAGCUCCGCCCCUCAGACCAGCGCGCUCGAGGUCGCCCCGCCACAGCCCGUCCUCUACCCGCCUCUGCUGGAAAACAGGCCGCAGAAUAUAGGUGUUCUCGGGCUCCCCUGCGUUCUUCUCAGCCUCAGGCACCCCGUCGCCCACCGAGAAGGACACUCCGAUGGACGUGGCCAUGCCGGGGCUUCUCGGUCCGGGCGUAGCUCGCGAUGAAGGCCUAGCGGGUUGCGGUCGCGGCCGGCAGCAGGGAAAGCGUCUCCAGGGCAACAGGGCCGCCCUCCCGCCUCGCUGAAGCCCGCGAGCGCCCCGCACAGCCGCCCUCCCUGCCCGCGCCUGCGCACCGGCUGCUGGGCGGGAACUGGUCGCGUCCGGACGCGCGACAGCUUCCACCCGCCUCAGGCAGUAUCAGCCGCGCCGCAGUCGGAGGAAAUAGACGCGGGGCCUGAGGCUCCUGGACUUGAGAGGCUGCAGAAAAGGCCCAGGAGGCUGUUGAUGACAUGAACGACCACCAGGAGAAGCUGGAGCAGGCUGAUGCACAGAAGGGCGGAGAAGAGGGACACGUGCCAGACAACAGCUGCAGAGGGCUCCAGGCAGACGGAGUUCCAGAGCGAACGGUCAUACAGAUAAUUCCUAUCCCAAAAAAUAAGGAGACCAGGGGUCAGGCGAUAAGUAAGGAAAGCCAAACAGGCAACCCCAGUAGAAAACUGGGGUCUCCCCUGACCGGGUCAUGGGACUGGGCUCAUGAGGGUGACCGUUACUGCUCCAUUUGCAAUUUUCUGAGUAUCAGAGGAGCAAGAUGCUAGGAUGUGUGACCCAAAGGAGCUUGUAGUUCGUCUGUGUGUCUUUUUGUCUCUCUCUCUCUCUCUGUCUGAAAAGACCAAGCCCAAGCCUCCACCCAUUUACCUACUAUGCAGGUCUUUGAAUGGGUAACCAUAUUUCCAAGCUUGUGUCUGAUUGAAGGAUGAAACAUCAAACAUGCAAAAAGGACCAUCUUUCAGAGCAACUCCAGAAGUGACAAAGCAAAUCAGGGCUCCAAGUAAAGCCAGGCCACCUGACAACAGAGCAGUAAGCACCUGCGGAGGGAGGAGAAACACUGAGCUAAGACGGGGUCGCAGCUGGGGAGCCUGCGGAGGGAGGAGAAACGCUGAGCUAAGACGGGGUCGCAGCUGGGGAGUCUGUGGGGCGGUCUGCACAGGUCUGACUUCUCUGGUCUCAGUGUUCUUCCGUCCUGUCAUGGGGGAGAAUUCUGUCCAUGGCACCCCCUUUGAAGCAUAACCCAUGGUGGGGAGGCCGUGAGGGGUUUCUAGGAGAGAAAGGACCAAGAAGCAGAAUCGCAGGCCCCGGAUCUCCCUGACCGUGAGUUCGCCUGAGCUGCUCAGCAGCUUGGCAUCACAAACCUUUUGCACAUUACAGCCAUUCAGCCUCUGAGCUAAAGAAGAAGCUACCACAGGCCCACCACUGACUCUUCUAAGGAAAAGCUGCAUUUUCAAAAGUUCCAGGUUCCCAACUCUGAUUCUUCUCUAUUUCAAAUCAAGGAUAAAAAAAAGGAAGGGAGGGAAGGAAGGAAAGAAAGAAGCAGGAAAGAAGGGAAGGAGAGAAGUGGGAGGGAGGGAAAGAAGGGAGAGAAACAGCGAGAGAGAAGCUGCAGCCAAGCUCUGAAAUGACUCCACUUCUGUCGCUGUGUUUCUCCAGCUGAGAGCUUUCUUGGCCAUCAGUCUGUGCUCCCACUGCCCUCCCAGAAAAUAACUGGGUUUCCUUCCUUGACAGGUUUCUAGCCUGCUUCUACAUUGGCUUCUUUCUCGUUCCUUCCUUCCUUCCCUUCCUUCCUUCUUUCUCUCUCUCUCUUUCUUUUUGAGACAGAGUCUCACUCUGUCGCCCAGGCUGGAGUGCAGUGGCACGAUCUCAGCUCACUGCAACCUCUGCCUCUGAGUUCAAGCGAUUCUCCUGCCUCAGCCUCCCAAGUAGCUGGGACUACAAGCAUGCGCCACCACACCCAGCUAAUUUUUGUAUUUUUAGUAGAAAUGGGGUUUCACUGUGUUGGUCAUGCCGGUCUCAAUCUCCUGACCUUGUGAUCCACCUGCUUCAGCCUCCCAAAGUGCUGGGAUUACAGGCAUGAGCCACCGUGCCCGGCCCAUAUUGGAUUCUUUCUUAGGGUUCUAGAUUUUUUUCUCCCUCCCCCAAAAAUGCCUAUUUUAAAAAUGUGAAUAACACCUACAUAGCGUUUUUCUGCAGAGUCAUGGAGUCAUUCUCCCACUGAGGUCAAGCUGGUUUGGAGUUGGGGAGGGAUCAGACAAAGGUGCAUAGUAAGUUUUGACUCUGAGUUAAAGGAGUCAAGAUGAAUCAGUAAGCCUAGGGCAGUGGUUCCCAAAAUGGGGUCCCUGCCCAGCCGCAUCACAUCACCUGAGAACCUGUUAGAAAUGCAAAACUUCCCCGCCAUCCUGAAUCAGAAACUCUGGGGAGGGAGCCCAGCAAUCCGUGUUCCGGCAAAAGCCCUCCAGGUGAUUCUCAUGCACAUUCAAGUGUCAGAACUACGUGCCACGGGGAAAACCAGAAUGAGAACAGACAGUGAAUGAAAUGUGCAAGUGUUUAUUUAUUUAUCUAUGUACUUAUUUAUUUAUUUAUUUUGAAACGGAGUCUCGCUCUGUCGCCCAGGCUGGAGUGCAGUGGCGCCAUCUCGGCUCACUGCAAGCUCCGCCUCCCGGGUUCAAGAGAUUUUCCUGCCUCAGCCUCCUGAGUUGCUGGGAUUACAGGCGCCCACCACCACGCCCAGCUAAUUUUUGUAUUUUUGGUAGAGACGGGGUUUCACCAUGUUGGCCAGGCUGGUCUCAAACUCCUGACCUCAGGUGAUCCGCCCAUCUUGGCCUCCCAAAGUGCUGGGAUUACAGGCGUGAGCCACCGCGCCUGGCCUAUAUUUGAUUUUUUAACAUGUAACUGAGUCAGUGGGCUUCCCAACAUGUGGGCUGCAGAUAUCAGAGCAGGCUGUGGAGUUACCAUAAGGCCACAGAUUCAUGUCUGAGAACGAGUGUGUGUGUGUGUGUGUGUGUGUGUUUGUUACACACACAUAUACUGAGAUCUUUCAAGUUUAUACAGUUGCUGCUGUAAUUAAUAAGGUAGAAAUUUAUUCUGGGCCUCAGUUUAUCUGUAAAAUGGAGGGGUUAGAUUAGAAUCUAGUGAUUAGAUGAUCUCUGGAAAACUUUCCUGUUCUAAGAAAAUAUUAGUUAAAAUAACUAGGAAAAUUUCCAUCAAUGACACAUGAUUACAGUGUCAUAACUCAUGUCCAUAUUGUCCAACACCCUAAGAGAGUAACAGUUUCUCACACUGGUACAGACGUCUGGGUCCUCACACUGGUACAGACGUCUGGGCUUCACUAAGCACUACUCCCUUGACUUGAUCAGCUCCCAUUUUACAGAUGAAAGCCUGAAACUGGAAAGAUGAAGCAACUUGCCCAAGAACUUAGCGUUACUGAGGGUCACAGUGAGGACCUGACUUCAGGCCCCAAGACCAAAAUUGCCUCUUUACCGCCCUGCCUCUAGAGUAAUAGAGGUGGAGACAUUCUGGGUGUUAGAAGAGUGGAAUCUGGUGCUUACGCUUCGACAGAGCCCACUCUUACUGAAGCAGCCGUAUCUCCAGCCCAUCAAGGAGAUGAGGAUAGCUGCAGUGAGUACCUGCAGGAGAGAGAAGAAUGUUGAGAUGGGGAAAUCGACUUUGCCGGCUGUUUCUAGGUGCUGCCCACAGCUGUUAGAGUGGCUGGCAGCUCACAUGAACGCAGUCCUGUUGACUCUGACUCUGGGGACCCACAUUUGUAUGACGAGCCUGAUCUAACGCUGUGGAUGUUAACUUUCACACCCGACCUGCCUGGUCCCAAGCUAGGCUUCCUGUCUCUUAGAGCUUCUACAGACCCAAGAUCAGCUUGUUAGAAUAAACUUUUCUGCAAG